rnacentral:rRNA from 1 species
UUAUUACUAUGAGGUGAACAACUUCAAUGCGAUUGUGAAUAAUGUGAUUCCAUUCUUUGAAAGGUUUGGAUUUCUUAGUGCGACGAAAAAGAAGGUUUUUUCAAAGUUUAAGAAGAUUGCAGAACUUAUGCAGGAAGGAAAACAUCUGACAGUGGACGGAUUGAUCGAGAUUCUGAAAAUCAGACAAAAGAUGAAUGAUGGCGGAAAAAGAGACCAUACUUAUGAGGAAGUAGUUUCUGACCUCCUUGGAAAAUCCUCAGAGGCCAUACGCCAGGUGCCACGAAGGACAUAACCCCUGAAGGGGAUGUGCCGUCGGUCCUUCGGGUAAUGAGAUGGUCCGAUCUCCAUAGCGAUAUGGAGGGGCUUGUAUGCCCGUCAGCCUGAAGGCUGAUAACGUAAAAAGAACGGUCCUAAGGUAGCAGUGCUGCCUGCCCUGCUGGAAACAGCAGGGGCAAUACCCGGCUGUAUGCGGGAAAACCCUUAGAGCCCUUCCUACCAGGGACUACCCGGUAAAAAUGGAAGGGAUUGGGCAAUCCGCAGGAAAUCCCAUCAGGGAGAUCCUCAGAGACUACACGCCGGGUAUCCAGUCAGGAGGUGAUUUAUGGAACUGGAUAUUGAUUGGGUAGUUGGUUUUGUGGAUGGCGAGGGUUGCUUCUAUGUUGGAAUAUACGAGCAUCCCGAAAUGAAAGUGGGGUAUCGGGUUCUUCCUGAAUUCAGAGUGGUGCAGCACAAGAGGGAUAUUCAGAUUCUCUAUGCGCUGAAGCGGUUUUUUAGAUGCGGUGUGGUGAGACAGAACCAUGAUGACCGAUACGAAUUCAGGAUACGGAAACACGAAUGUCUAAUGAAGGUCGUGGAUUUUUUUCAGAGACAUCCAUUGAAGACAAAAAAGAACGUGGAUUUCCGAAAAUUUGCCAGAAUUGUUAGAAAGAUGGCAGAAGGCAGACAUCUCACAGAAGAAGGCUUCAAGGAGAUUGUGAAGAUUGCCAUGAGUAUGAAUUCAGGAGAACACGAAAGGCUUAAGGAGAUAUAUGAUACCCUGACUGGAUAAAGAUAUAGUCCACCCCUGAUAGAAAUAUCAGGAUAAAGGUGAGCGAAAUUCCUUGUCGGGUAAGUGAGGACUUGCCCCACCAUCCUGUGAAGGAUGGUGAAACACCGGCUCAUAUCGGGGAAGCCCUGCAGGGCAGGGUAAUCCCGAGGGAACCUGCCUUAUGAGGCAGGACCUGUAACGACUGACCCGAAAGGGGAGGCGCACACACCCCUGUGCGCAACACGCCGGCCCUCACCCCUUCGCUAACAGCGGAGGAAGUGAGUGUCUACGGAGGCCUCCUGCUCAUAAAAAGGGGGUUUUAUGAAUGAAAAACUCCAUCCCUGGUACAUAACAGGGAUUGUUGAAGGUGAGGGUUCCUUCUGUGUUAGUUUCAGUAAAAGGAGAAGGUUGAAGGUUGGAAUAGAAACCAGGCCUUCCUUCUCUAUAACCCUGAAUAGAAGGGACCUUGAACUCCUUAAAGCAAUUCAUAGAUACUUCAGGUGUGGAGGUAUCAGGUUUUCCAGGUCAGAUAGAACCUACAAGUAUGAGGUUCGGUCAGUGAAAGACCUGGUUAAGAGGAUAAUACCACAUUUUGAAAGGUAUCCCCUUAAAGGAGCAAAGGCUGAAGACUUUGAACGAUUUGCAAAAAUCUGCAAAAUGGUUCAUGCGAAUCUUCAUCUGAACAAACAACACCUGAAGGAGAUUAUUGACCUUGCGUAUGGAAUGGACCCUUCAGGUAAGAGAAAAUGCAGCAGGAAGGACCUCCUAAGGGUACUCGGUGAGGUGAAGGUAUAGUCUACCCCCCAUGGUAACAUGGGAAUGGGUGAAGUUCCGACCUGCACGAAUGGCGUAACGACUUGGGCAUUGUCUCAACGAGGGGCCCGGCGAAAUUGGAGUCGUGGUGAAGAUACCACGUACCCGCGGAAGGACGAAAAGACCCCGUGAACCUUUACUGCAGCUUGGUAUUGGGUUUUGGCAAGGCAUGUGUAGGAUAGGUGGGAGCCUGUGAAGCCGGGGCGCCAGCCUCGGUGGAGGCGCCGGUGAAAUACCACCCUUGUCUUGUCGGAGCUCUAACCCGGGGAGUGGAUCUCCGGGGACAGUGCCAGGUGGGCAGUUUUACUGGGGCGGUAGCCUCCUAAAAGGUAACGGAGGCGCCCAAAGGUUCCCUCAAGCCGGACGGUAACCGGCUGUAGAGUGCAAGGGCAGAAGGGAGCCUGACUGUGAGGCCGACAGGCCGAGCAGAGCCGAAAGGCGGGCCUAGUGAUCCGGCGGUUCCGAGUGGAAGGGCCGUCGCUCAACGGAUAAAAGGUACUCCGGGGAUAACAGGCUGAUCUCGCCCGAGAGCUCACAUCGACGGCGAGGUUUGGCACCUCGAUGUCGGCUCGUCGCAUCCUGGGGCUGGAGAAGGUCCCAAGGGUUGGUCUGUUCGCCCAUUAAAGCGGCACGCGAGCUGGGUUCAGAACGUCGUGAGACAGUUCGGACUUAAUCCUCCGCGGGCGUAGGAGACUUGAGGGGGGCUGCCCCUAGUACGAGAGGACCGGGGUGGACGCACCUCUGGUGUACCUGUUGUCACGCCAGUGGCACAGCAGGGUAGCUAUGUGCGGAAGGGAUAACCGCUGAAGGCAUCUAAGCGGGAAACCCGCCCCAAGAUUAGGUCUCCCGCCUUAAGGCUUCGGUCUUAAGGCUAAGGCCCCUCCGAGAUGAGGAGGUUGAUAGGCCGCAGGUGUAAGGCCGGCAACGGCUUCAGCCGAGCGGUACUAAUAGGCCGAGAGGCUUGUCC